UACGUAGGGUCCGAGCGUUGUCCGGAAUUACUGGGCGUAAAGAGCUUGUAGGCGGUUUGUCGCGUCUGCUGUGAAAAUCCGGGGCUCAACCCCGGACUUGCAGUGGGUACGGGCAGACUGGAGUGUGGUAGGGGAGACUGGAAUUCCUGGUGUAGCGGUGGAAUGCGCAGAUAUCAGGAGGAACACCGGUGGCGAAGGCGGCAUCCUGGACCGACACUGACACUGAGGAGCGAAAGCCAGGGGAGCAAACGGG
rnacentral:rRNA from 1 species